UACGUAGGGGGGCAAGCGUUGUCCGGAUUUAUUGGGCGUAAAGAGCGUGUAGGCGGCCAGAUAGGUCCGUUGUGAAAACUGGAGGCUUAACCUCCAGCUGUCGAUGGAAACCAUCUGGCUAGAGUCCGGAAGAGGAGAGUGGAAUUCCUGGUGUAGCGGUGAAAUGCGCAGAUAUCAGGAAGAACACCCGUGGCGAAGGCGGCUCUCUGGGACGGUACUGACGCUGAGACGCGAAAGCGUGGGGAGCGAACAGG
rnacentral:rRNA from 1 species